rnacentral:rRNA from 1 species
GAUGAACGCUGGCGGCGUGCCUAAUACAUGCAAGUCGAGCGAACAGACGAGGAGCUUGCUCCUCUGAUGUUAGCGGCGGACGGGUGAGUAACACAUGGAUAACCUACCUAUAAGACUGGGAUAACUUCGGGAAACCGGAGCUAAUACCGGAUAACAUGUUGAACCGCAUGGUUCAACAGUGAAAGACGGUCUUGCUGUCACUUAUAGAUGGAUCCGCGCCGCAUUAGCUAGUUGGUAAGGUAACGGCUUACCAAGGCAACGAUGCGUAGCCGACCUGAGAGGGUGAUCGGCCACACUGGAACUGAGACACGGUCCAGACUCCUACGGGAGGCAGCAGUAGGGAAUCUUCCGCAAUGGGCGAAAGCCUGACGGAGCAACGCCGCGUGAGUGAAGAAGGUCUUCGGAUCGUAAAACUCUGUUAUUAGGGAAGAACAAAUGUGUAAGUAACUAUGCACGUCUUGACGGUACCUAAUCAGAAAGCCACGGCUAACUACGUG